rnacentral:rRNA from 1 species
GAGAACGCUGGCGGCGUGCUUAACACAUGCAAGUCGAACGGUGAUCUUGAGAGCUUGCUCUUGGGUAAUCAGUGGCGAACGGGUGAGUAACACGUGAGUAACCUGCCCCUGACUCUGGAAUAACUUCGGGAAACCGAAGCUAAUACCGGAUAUGACACAGAGCCGCAUGGUUUCUGUGUGGAAAGUUUUCGGUUGGGGAUGGACUCGCGGCCUAUCAGCUUGUUGGUGAGGUAAUGGCUCACCAAGGCGACGACGGGUAGCCGGCCUGAGAGGGCGACCGGCCACACUGGGACUGAGACACGGCCCAGACUCCUACGGGAGGCAGCAGUGGGGAAUAUUGCACAAUGGGCGAAAGCCUGAUGCAGCGACGCCGCGUGAGGGAUGAAGGCCUUCGGGUUGUAAACCUCUUUCAGUAGGGAAGAAGCGCAAGUGACGGUACCUACAGAAGAAGCACCGGCUAACUACGUG